AGAAAAUCCGUUGGCUUAAGUGACCGUGAGGGUUCAAGUCCCUCUUCCCC
rnacentral:tRNA from 3 species